rnacentral:pre_miRNA from 1 species
AUGGCUGCCCACCAUGGUGACCGUAGAAACUAACAUAGAAAAAGAGGUAGAUAUCUCAAGUGACUUUGUUCAUUUACGUUGGAAUAGACAAGUAACUACCUUUUCUAUUUUAGUUUCUAUGGUCACUAUGGUGGCAGCCAU